rnacentral:pre_miRNA from 1 species
GAGUUGCUUAAGAGUAAGGCAGAAGAUGGUUAGAAGAUUUAAGAAUCGCACAAGAACUGUGGGGUUGUUACUCGUCCCCACAGUUCUUGCGAGAUUCUUAAAUCUUCUAACCAUCUUCUGACUUACUCUUUAGC